UAGGGAAUCUUCCACAAUGGACGCAAGUCUGAUGGAGCAACGCCGCGUGAGUGAAGAAGGUUUUCGGAUCGUAAAGCUCUGUUGUUGGUGAAGAAGGAUAGAGGCAGUAACUGGUCUUUAUUUGACGGUAAUCAACCAGAAAGUCACGGCUAACUACGUGCCAGCAGCCGCGGUAAUACGUAGGUGGCAAGCGUUGUCCGGAUUUAUUGGGCGUAAAGCGAGCGCAGGCGGAAUGAUAAGUCUGAUGUGAAAGCCCACGGCUCAACCGUGGAACUGCAUCGGAAACUGUCAUUCUUGAGUGCAGAAGAGGAGAGUGGAAUUCCAUGUGUAGCGGUGGAAUGCGUAGAUAUAUGGAAGACCACCAGUGGCGAAGGCGGCUCUCUGGUCUGCAACUGACGCUGAGGCUCGAAAGCAUGGGUAGCGAACAGG
rnacentral:rRNA from 1 species